AUUGAUGAUUGCUCACUAGUGCCGGGGCGAUCCUCUCGAAUUUGUCAUUGACCAUAUAGUGAGAGUACACGGCCAUCAGCAUCAAGAGAAGCAAAGGGAGAAUUUAUGACGUGGAGGACCAAUUAGAAUUUCGCUUGAUUAUCAUGAGCAAAGAAGGUGAUUGAUUCUUUGCACCUACGACUUGGAAUAAUUGCCAUGGCGAGGCCACAGAUGAUCUCGAGUGAGCCGACGACUCUUCGAUACCAUUUGCUGGGCACUUUGAAAUCGAGCGUGCCCGAGAGCGGAAACACUUUUGCAUAUUUGACAUAUUCUUUUCUC